UACAGGAGGUUGAUUUUGUGUUCCAAGCCUGUGAUCAUUAACUGUUUUCCAGCUCUACCAGCAUCCUGUCCAAGCCUUUAAGAUGAGGAACAAAUUCUAUGUGAGGAGAAAUGGCAAAAAUUGGUAUGCCUCUGCUUUUCUGAUUUCCCAUUCCCUUCCAUUUCUCUUAUUAACAAGUAAAAGUAAGGAAAUCCUGUCCUGUGGAUAACUUCCCAUUGACUUGCAGAGAGCUCAGACAUGCUAUGGUAGAUAUGGAUACUAUUUUGUUUUUGUUUUUUGAGAUGGAGUCUUGCUCAGUCACCCAGGCUGGAGUGCAGUGGCAUGAUCUCAGCCCACUGCAAACUCCGCCUCCCAGGUUCAAGUGAUUCUCCUGACUCAGCCUCCCGAGUAGCUGGGAUUACAAGCAGAUGCCACCACACCCAGCUAAUUUUUGUAUUUUUAGUAGAGACAAGGUUUAACCAUCUUUACUAAACAGACUAGGCCCGUCUUGAACUCCUGACUUCAAGUGAUCUGCCCGCCUCAGCCUCCCAACGUGCUGGGAUUAUAGGUGUGAGACACUGCACCUUGCCAAUGGUGAAUAUUGUUGAUUUAAAAUAAUAGAUAUAAUAAAUCUCCAAUCUCAGGGAAGUUUCCAAGUCCUAAAGUCAAAACUUCCGAUCUUGCCGUGUGCUUGAAUUAUCCUCAAUUAGAGUCCCUGCUGCUGUUGCAUGUCGCUGUAAUUAUUCUGUCAUCGUUAAUUCAAUGAAGCCUAUUAACCCACA